GAUGAACGCUAGCUACAGGCUUAACACAUGCAAGUCGAGGGGAAACGACAUCGAAAGCCUGCUUUUGAUGGGCGUCGACCGGCGCACGGGUGAGUAACGCGUAUCCAACCUGCCCAUCACUUGGGAAUAACCUUGCGAAAGUAAGACUAAUACCCAAUGAUAUCCCACGAAGGCAUCGGAAUGGGAUUAAAGAUUUAUCGGUGAUGGAUGGGGAUGCGUCUGAUUAGCUUGUUGGCGGGGUAACGGCCCACCAAGGCAACGAUCAGUAGGGGUUCUGAGAGGAAGGUCCCCCACAUUGGAACUGAGACACGGUCCAAACUCCUACGGGAGGCAGCAGUGAGGAAUAUUGGUCAAUGGGCGAGAGCCUGAACCAGCCAAGUAGCGUGCAGGAAGACGGCCCUAUGGGUUGUAAACUGCUUUUAUAAGGGAAUAAAGUGGGUCACGUGUGACUUUUUGCAUGUACCUUAUGAAUAAGGACCGGCUAAUUCCGUG
rnacentral:rRNA from 1 species